CUCGGCAACGGAUAUCUAGGCUCUCGCAUCGAUGAAGAACGUAGCAAACUGCGAUACUUGGUGUGAAUUGCAGAAUCCCGUGAACCAUCGAGUCUUUGAACGCAAGUUGCGCCUGAAGCCAUUAGGCUGAGGGCACGUCUGCCUGGGCGUCAC
rnacentral:rRNA from 3 species